rnacentral:rRNA from 1 species
UUACUAUGUUACGACUUAUUCUAAAAUUAAUAAAAGUGACGGGCGAUUUGUAUAUAUAUAAAAAUUAUAUUCAAAUUAAUUAAUUUAUUAAUUUACUUUUAAAUCCUAAAUUUUUUAAAUAUUUAAAUUUAAAAAAUUAUUUUUAAUUUAUAGUAACUCAUUUAAUCUUUAAUAUAAACUACA